rnacentral:rRNA from 1 species
CCUUGACAUACUAAGAACUUUCCAGAGAUGGAUUGGUGCCUUCGGGAACUUAGAUACAGGUGCUGCAUGGCUGUCGUCAGCUCGUGUCGUGAGAUGUUGGGUUAAGUCCCGCAACGAGCGCAACCCUUUUCCUUAUUUGCCAGCGGGUCAUGCCGGGAACUUUAAGAAUACUGCCAGUGACAAACUGGAGGAAGGCGGGGACGACGUCAAGUCAUCAUGGCCCUUACGGCCAGGGCUACACACGUGCUACAAUGGUCGGUACAAAGGGUUGCUACCUCGCGAGAGGAUGCUAAUCUCAAAAAGCCGAUCGUAGUCCGGAUCGCAGUCUGCAACUCGACUGCGUGAAGUCGGAAUCGCUAGUAAUCGCGGAUCAGAAUGCCGCGGUGAAUACGUUCCCGGGCCUUGUACACACCGCCCGUCACACCAUGGGAGUUUGUUGCACCAGAAGUAGGUAGUCUAACCGCAAGGAGGACGCUUACCACGGUGUGGCCGAUGACUGGGGUGAAGUCGUAACAAGGUAGGCGUAGAUGA